rnacentral:rRNA from 1 species
GAUGAACGCUGGCGGCGUGCCUAAUACAUGCAAGUCGAGCGAACGGACGAGAAGCUUGCUUUUCUGAUGUUAGCGGCGGACGGGUGAGUAACACGUGGAUAACCUACCUAUAAGACUGGGAUAACUUCGGGAAACCGGAGCUAAUACCGGAUAAUAUUUUGAACCGCAUGGUUCAAAAGUGAAAGACGGUCUUGCUGUCACUUAUAGAUGGAUCCGCGCUGCAUUAGCUAGUUGGUAAGGUAACGGCUUACCAAGGCAACGAUGCAUAGCCGACCUGAGAGGGUGAUCGGCCACACUGGAACUGAGACACGGUCCAGACUCCUACGGGAGGCAGCAGUAGGGAAUCUUCCGCAAUGGGCGAAAGCCUGACGGAGCAACGCCGCGUGAGUGAUGAAGGUCUUCGGAUCGUAAAACUCUGUUAUUAGGGACGAACAUAUGUGUAAGUAACUGUGCACAUCUUGACGGUACCUAAUCAGAAAGCCACGGCUAACUACGUG